rnacentral:rRNA from 1 species
GACGAACGCUGGCGGCGUGCUUAACACAUGCAAGUCGAACGGAAAGGCCCUGCUUUUGUGGGGUGCUCGAGUGGCGAACGGGUGAGUAACACGUGAGUAACCUGCCCUUGACUUUGGGAUAACUUCAGGAAACUGGGGCUAAUACCGGAUAGGAGCUCCUGCUGCAUGGUGGGGGUUGGAAAGUUUCGGCGGUUGGGGAUGGACUCGCGGCUUAUCAGCUUGUUGGUGGGGUGGUGGCUUACCAAGGCUUUGACGGGUAGGCGGCCUGAGAGGGUGACCGGCCACAUUGGGACUGAGAUACGGCCCAGACUCCUACGGGGGGCAGCAGUGGGGAAUAUUGCACAAUGGGCGGAAGCCUGAUGCAGCAACGCCGCGUGCGGGAUGACGGCCUUCGGGUUGUAAACCGCUUUCGCCUGUGACGAAGCGUGAGUGACGGUAAUGGGUAAAGAAGCACCGGCUAACUACGUG